GGGUCAAUGUGCAGGUAAAGGUAUGACCCCCCCCAAGUCAACAUGGGGGGGUCCAUGUGCAAGUGGGGGGGUCAGUGUGAUGGUAAAGGUGUGACCCCCCCCA